GAAAUGCGAUAAGUAAUAUGAAUUGCAGAUUUUCGUGAAUCAUCGAAUCUUUGAACGCACAUUGCACCUUGUGGUAUUCCACAAGGUAUGCCUGUUUGAGCGUCAUUUCUCCCUCAAACCCCCCGGUUUGGUGUUGAGUGAUACUCCGGUCCACUUCAAAUUUAGCUACAACUUAUGUUCUAAUACUUCGUAAGUAACACUAAAAAGAUCGACCUCAAAUCAGGUAGGACUACCCGCUGAACUUAA
rnacentral:misc_RNA from 1 species